ACAUGUACAACCGCGUUGCCCCGCACUUAGCCAGCCCCACGUGACACAGGCUAACAGCUGCAAUGAUUUCCAGGCACAGACCCCAGGAAAAUGCACCUUUGAGUGCCAUGCCAGGUGAUUCUAACUAAGCACAUUAAAAUCUGGAUGACACUUAUCUGAAUCAUUUCGCAACUUGGAGAGAGAUGGAGAAGACCUGCAUGGUGUAACUGGGCGUCACCAGAAUGUGCACUGCCAUCUGUGGCUGUCUUCCUGCUGGCAAGUCCUUUUCAUUCCAAGCAAAUAAGAUCCUCUAAAUUAGACAAAAAGGAAAAAACACAACAGAGUCCAUAAUUCUGAGAGAGUACGUUAGCAGCCAAUUCAAAACACAGUAAUAAUUUGACAUCUUCCUCAAAUUGAAGUUCCUUCCUGGGGUGCAGCCCCUUCCAUAAGGAGGUGCUUUCACUGGAGCCACCAAGUCCUGCCCCACACCGCAAAUUUAUUGUUCAUUUGUUUGUUUCAAGUCUGCUUUCCAGUUGCAAACAGGCAGAUCAGUUCUCCUCAAAUUUAGGAAGAGAAGAGUGAUCAUCAGUGGCAAAAGGCAAUUGCAGAGAAGCACCACCAAGAGCCAGCUUCAUGCUCAGGAGUGAAUGCUGAGCCGCCUCCUCGUGGUUUCCGGUGCUCCACACGUUCAGAGAAACUUCUCUGGCCCCCAGGUACUGAACUUAAGAGGACAGAGGAAAAGUUUUUCCUCCCCGACACUGAGCAACCAGAGGCUGCUGUUAAGUAACCUUCCCUCACUUCUACGUCUGUCCUCUGCCCCUUCCAGCCCCUCAGCCCACAUUGUCGCUCAUGUUCCUAUUCACCUAAAAGAAGAGGAAAAUCAUAUUAUUUAAAUAAACCCCUGCCUUAUAGU